rnacentral:sRNA from 1 species
AAGAGAUCUACAACGAA